UACGUAGGGGGCUAGCGUUGUCCGGAAUCAUUGGGCGUAAAGCGCGUGUAGGCGGUCCGGUAAGUCCGCUGUGAAAGUCGAGGGCUCAACCCUCGAAUGCCGGUGGAUACUGUCGGGCUAGAGUACGGAAGAGGCGAGUGGAAUUCCUGGUGUAGCGGUGAAAUGCGCAGAUACCAGGAGGAACACCAAUAGCGAAGGCAGCUCGCUGGGACGGUACUGACACUAAGGCGCGAAAGCGUGGGGAGCGAACAGG
rnacentral:rRNA from 1 species